CGAUUUCCUCACGCCACAGCCCAGCCCCGCCACCUCCUGGGGCGGGGCGGGGCGGGGCUUGGUUAUGGGUGUCCCGCAGGCGAGGCGAGGCACUGUUAUGCAAGGGCCGCCUGCAGUGCCGAGGAAACAAUCACAGUGAAAGCUUUGCGGCCGCUCACAAGUUUGGUUUGAGUGAUUCACGGCGGGACUCGCGGCCGUUUUCGUGCGCGAGGUCAGUAUGGGUGUUGGCUGCAAUGUGGGCGUCAUGGGCUGUCAACGGUGCCGCGGAGGCCUGGAGGCAGCGGAGGAGGUGGUCAGGCUGCCUCUCCUCCCUUCGUCAGCACCAGCAGGCACCCCACACGCCCCUGCCCUCCCUUUCAUUUACGACUUUGAGUGCAUGGGCGUGACGGAGAUUGUGUAAUGAAGUUUCUCAAGGUGGGGAGGGAGGGUAAGGCAGGGUGGAGGGGGUGGUAGGGUGGAAGGGGGAGGCAAGAGAGUGGAGGAGGAGGCAGAGAGGAAGAAGAGGUAGGGUGGAAGGGGAGGCAAGAGGGUGGAGGGGGAAGGCAGAGAGGAAGUGGGAAGUAGGGUGGAAGGGGGUGGCAGGGUGGAAGGGGGAGGGAGAGAUGCUGGGCGUGGUGGGGCGUCUGACGGGUGCCCUUUCCCUGCCCCGCCCACCCCUGCCUGAAAGUGCCCGCCCGGUGCCUCCCUGGCGGGGCGGCACGCUGCCAGGAGGGCCGCGUGGCCGUGUUUGGGGCGCCCGCUACCUGACGCCCGUAUUGAGUUCCUGCAGGGGCGGUGACGGGCGGAGCGGGUGACGAGCGGGCGUGUUUACCUGAGGACGCGGGUCUGACGGUCAUCCUUUUUUUGUAGACAGUUCACGAGUCGCUUCAUUUUUUGCUUGUCACUUUCUUUUCCACGUCCUCUCUUCCCGUUUCCUCUUCACUAAGUUUUGAUCUUUCUCUUCACGUCACUAAUAUCUGCGGCGGGGCGGGGCGGCAAGCGAGGGUCAAACGGUCACUUAUCUUUAUCUUAUUUUGUCUCAUUUUUUGCCCGUCACUUUCUUUUCCACGUCCUCUCCCCGUUUUCUCUUCACUAAGUCUUGAUCUUUCUCUUCGUCACUAAUAUUUGCAGCGGGGCGGGGCGGCAAGCGAGGGUCAGACGGUCAUUUUUUUAUUCAUAUUUUGCUUAAUGUUUUGCUCGGCACUUUCUUUUUCACGUCCUCUCCCCGUUUUCUCUUCACUAAGUUUUGAUCUUUCUCUUCACGUCACUAAUAUCUGCGGCGGGGCGGGGCGGCAAGCGAGGGUCAGACGGUCACCUUUUUUUCUUAUUUUGCUUAAUGUUUUGCUCGUCACUUUCUACUCCACGUCCUCUCUCCGUUUUCUCUUCGUCACUAAUAUUUGCGACGGGCCAGACAAUCACCUUUUUCUUUCUUUUCCUUUUUUCCUACAUGUUUUUACUCGCGUUACUUUCUUUUCUUUCCUCUUCCCGUUUUGAUAUUUUUCUUCAUGUCACUAAUAUCUGCGACGGGGGACGGGGCGGGGCGGGGCGCGGCGGGUCAGGCGGUCAACAUUUUUCUUUUCCUUCUUUCCUUUCUUUUUGUUGCUUCAUGUUUUGUUCGUCCCACUUUCUUCUCUUCGUCCUCUUCCCGUUUUCUCUCUCUUCACCUCGUUCUGAUCUUUUUCAUUCACGUCGCUUUGAUAUUUUUCUGUCAUCAAAAUUUUCCAACGUUUUCAAAUAUAUAUACAGAGAGAGAAAAAACAUGAACUCUCUCUCUCUCUCUCUCUCUCUCUCUCUCUCUCUCUCUCUCUCUCUCUCUCUCUCUCUCUCAGCAACACCAAUGACGAGGAAAAACAAUAAAAAACAGCAACAACAACAAACACUACCAUCACCAACAAACCUAAAACAAACACUAGCAACAUCAACUAAACAACAACAAUAACAACAACACAAGGUCACCAGCAUACCAAAAGAAGAUACAAUGGUGAAGGAAGGGAAGGGGAGGGGAACACGGCCGAAGGGGAGGGUUAAAAAGUAGCCCAAGACGAGUAAUGACCCGCGACCUCGUAACUUUUCCCGCGACCCGCCUUCCUGAAAUAGCCCAAACGUGUGUGCUUGCAAGGGAGGAUCGAAGGGAGGGAAGGAGGAGGGAGGAGGAGGAAAGGAAGGAAGGGAGGUUAGGUUCAGUAAGGGAGAGAGAGAGGGGGGUCAGGUUCAGUAAGGGAGAGAGAGGGAGGAAAGGAAGGAAGGGAGGUUAGGUUCAAUAAGGGAGAGAGGGAGACGUUUGAAUGUGUAAGGGAGAUGAGAAAGGAAGGGAGGAAAAGAACUGAAGGAAAGUAAUGGGAAAAGGAAAAAGGAAGGGCCAAUUAAGGGAGAAAUGUGAAAGAAUAAGGGAGAUGAGGGAGGAAGGAAAGGGAAGGAAGAAGUAAAAAGGGAGGUAAAGUAAGGAAGAGAGGAAGUAUAAGGGAGAUAAGUUUGAGAGUAAGGGAGAAAGAGAGGAAAGGGAGAAGGGAGGUUAAGCUAAGUAAGGGUGAGGAAAAGUGAGGGAGAGAGGGAGAAGUUUGACAGUAAGGGAGAUAAGGGAGAUAAAACUGAGAGGGAGGUAGGGAGAGGAAAAGUGAGGGAGAGGGAGAAGUUUGACAGUAAGGGAGAUAAGGGAGAUAAAACUGAGAGGGAGGUAAGGAGAGAAAAGGGAGAGAUAAGACCCACAUUGAGAACUUUGAUGGAAGCGAAGGGAGGGAAACGAACACACACACACACACACACACACACACACACACACACACACACACACACACGGACGAGCUGCACAGUGUUGCCAACUUCGUGAUGUUACCUGCCACGUGGAAGGAAGUGAUGCAACGCUGGCGAACAGGUGGAAGAGGAGGUGGAGGGAGAGGGAGAGAGGGAGGGUGGAAGGGAGGGAGGGAGAGGGAGGAUCAUGCGAGUAGGCAGAGAAUAAAAAGAAGGAAAAGAGGGAAGGGAAACAUUGAUGAAGAAGGACAUGUUAGGAAGAAAUGAAGGAGAGAAAGGGAGGGAGAGGGAGGAAGAGAGGAAGAGAGAGAAGGAGGAAGGGAAUAGGAAGAGAAUUAAAAGAAGGGAAAGAAGGAAGGGAAACGAUGAUAAAGUAAGACAUAUUAGGAGGAAAUGAAGGAGAGGAAGGGAGAGAAAGAAAGAGAAAGGAGGGAAGGAGAGAAUCAUGCAAGUGGAUAGAAGAGGGAGAAUAAAGGGAGGGAAAAGAAACAGUAAAAGAUAGGUUAGACAGGGAUAAAGGGAAAGAGAUGGAAAAACGGAGGUAAUUAUACAGGUAAACGCAGAAAGGGAAAAGGUAGGAAGGAAAAAAGGAAAGGUAGAGAGGAAAGGAGGAAGAUAACCAGGUGAACGAGAAUGAAGGAAAGGAAGGAAGGAAGGAAAGAAGAAAGGAAGAAGAAAAAAAUAACAUACUGGUAAACGUAGAAUGGGAAAAGGAAGGAAGGAAAGAAGGAAAAGUAGAGAGGAAGGAAAGGGGAAAGGUAGAGAGGAAAGGAGGAAGAUAACCAGGUGAACGAGAAUGAAGGAAAGGAAGGAAAGAAGGAAGAAGAAAAAAAUAUACAGGUAGAAAGAAUCGAGGAAAGAGGACAACACACACACACACACACACACACACACACACACACACACACACACACACGAGGAGGAGAAAGCAGGCCAGAAUUUUACGCAUACGAAGGUGAAAUCCACAAAAUUCAAAGACGCUCACCUUAAUUAGAAGAUACACAGGUGAGCAGGGAAGGACAUUGGGGAGGAGGAGGAGGAGGAGGAGGAGGAGGUAUUUUGACAGGUGAUACGGGGAUUUAAUCAACAGGUGGGCUACGUGUUAUGCACCUUAUUUAUGGAAACACACACACACACACACACACACACACACACACACACACACACACACACACACA